GACGAACGCUGGCGGCGUGCUUAACACAUGCAAGUCGAACGGAAAGGCCCUGCUUUUGUGGGGUGCUCGAGUGGCGAACGGGUGAGUAACACGUGAGUAACCUGCCCUUGACUUUGGGAUAACUUCAGGAAACUGGGGCUAAUACCGGAUAGGAGCUCCUGCUGCAUGGUGGGGGUUGGAAAGUUUCGGCGGUUGGGGAUGGACUCGCGGCUUAUCAGCUUGUUGGUGGGGUAGUGGCUUACCAAGGCUUUGACGGGUAGCCGGCCUGAGAGGGUGACCGGGGACAUUGGGACUGAGAGACGGGCCAGACUCCUACGGGAGGCAGCAGUGGGGAAUAUUGCACAAUGGGCGGAAGCCUGAGGCAGCAACGCCGCGUGCGGGAUGACGGCGUUCGGGGUGGAAACCGCUUUCGGCUGUGACGAAGCGUGAGUGACGGUAAUGGGUAAAGAAGCACCGGCUAAGUACGUG
rnacentral:rRNA from 1 species